GCGUCUGCGGGAAUUGGCCAGCGGAGAUGGCCCGGAUCUUACCCCGUGUUUAAACUCUCACUCUGGACCUAACCCCGGCGGCCCGCCUGCGGACUUUGGCGCCUAUGCGCUCCGCGGCGCGGCUCCUCCCCGGCGCGGUAUUUCUACUGAGGUGUGGAUACUAAUUUUCAGGGCCUCUAUCAGUAACUUGUACAUGUGUUGGAAUUCACUGCUCCUCUUCUGCUGCUGGCUCCUUAGCUGGAAGGAAAGCUUUCACACAGAGUUGAUUUGUACGAGGAAAUUUGAGGACUGACAGCAACUCCCCGUGCUCCUCGAAAGGAUUCAUACCAUGAAGAACCACAAAACCAUCUGAUGCCAGAAAAUACAAACCACACAGACCUUGAAACCUCCCUUUCUGCCACAAGAACUCAAGCAUGCUCCAGACCAGGAGCAUGAACUGAGACACUCUAGAGAAUCAUUUGUCUCUUUUUUUCACAGGAUGUUUUACUUGGGUCUCAAGCCCCCUAGAAGGGAAGGCAGAAAUUAUGUAUCCAUUAGCAUUUGCCAUGAUUCAUUUGGCCUCAAGCACAAGAAUGGGUUUUUUUAAUGCAGAAAGUGUAUUGUUUUUCCUGUGUGGCACUGCUUGACUACAUCAUAUGGAGGAAUGAAAGCAGGAUGCCCAAUCAGGUACCAAGCAUCACUCAAACCCACUAAUAUUUACAAUUCAAUCUCUGAUCAACCAGUCUUGGUUGUGAAAACUCAACUGUGGUUCAAAAAAACCAAACCUAAACACACACACACACACACGGGAAAAAAAAAGUCAACCGAACUUCAAGAGCUCUGAAUCCACCAGAGGAUAGUUAAAGGAUUAGUAAAAGGAGAACAAAACCAAACUCACCACAAUUCAGCACAAACAACAAACCAGAUAAAGGCAGGGAACAUCGGCAUUGCUCUUUC